GACGAACGCUGGCGGCGUGCUUAACACAUGCAAGUCGAACGGAAAGGCCCUGCUUUUGUGGGGUGCUCGAGUGGCGAACGGGUGAGUAACACGUGAGUAACCUGCCCUUGACUUUGGGAUAACUUCAGGAAACUGGGGCUAAUACCGGACAGGAGCUCCUGCUGCAUGGGGGGGGUGGGAAAGAUUCGGCGGUUGGGGAUGGACUCGCGGCUUAGCCGCUUGUUGGUGGGGUAGUGGCUUACCAAGGCAUUGACGGGUAGCCGGCCUGAGAGGGUGACCGGCCCCAUUGGGCCUGAGGUACGGCCCAGACUCCUACGGGAGGCAGCAGUGGGGAAUAUUGCACAAUGGGCGGAAGCCUGAUGCAGCAACGCCGCGUGCGGGAUGACGGCCUUCGGGUUGUAACCCGCUUUCGCCUGUGACGAAGCGUGAGUGACGGUAAUGGGUAAAGAAGCACCGGCUAACUACGUG
rnacentral:rRNA from 1 species